AACUAAAUCUUGCGAGUUCUCUCUAAAUUCAUUCGUAUACGGCAUUCUCUCACUCUUCGUUUCUGUUUGUUUCAAGAUUUUGUCCUAAUUUUACCUCUUUUUUCCCUUUUUAUGAGAGCCCUAAUUUUAGUUUUCUGCUACAAAGAUUUAAAAUUGGUGAUGCAGAUUAGGGAGUGGCAUGUCGCAUUCUCCUUCCGCAAUCCUCCGGCCAGAAACUCCUCAUUUAUUUUGUAAACCUAUCUCCUCCUUGUUUCAAUUCAUUUUAUAUCAAUUUUGUCUCACUGUAUACUAGUUUUGAAAAUUGUAAUCCCAUUUCUUUAUUGUUUAUCUUUUCUCACGGACCCCAUAUGGAUUUAUGGAUUUGCAUACUUGGUGAAAGAACAUUUCUCUUUCUCCCUUUUUUGGCCGGGAUUGAAGUUAGGCUGGGGAUAACACUAAUGAAACAUUAGUAGUGUGUACUUUAUGUAUUGGAAUUCUAGGUAGGAAUUAUAGGAGCUUGAAAAAUGAAUUAUUAGCCGAUAUCUCAAUUUUAAUUCAUGGCUAACUAGAAACUCUUGAAUUAUUUUAAUUACUUGGUCAUCUUCUUUGAGACUUGUUUUUAAGCUGCAUCUAUUCAUGUAGAUAAGCUAUUAAUUACCUUUAGCUUGAAAAUGUAAUGAUACUGUCACCUGUUUAUCAAUUGACAGAGUGUAGCAAACCUUUACUGCUACCUUUUUUUUUUUUUUUUUUUUCUCUUUACACUUUUUCCUGGUUGCAUUCUUUUAUUAGCUACAAAUUUGAAUUUAUUUAUUCACAUGUAGUUAUGCUAGGAAAUUAAAGAAAGUGGCGACAAAAAAAAUAAAAAUAAAAGAGGAUUUACAAUGUAUAUAUCCUAUGGUUUCCGGAUUCCUCCGAGGCAUCUUUUUGUCAUUAUCUAUUUUUUUAAUUGUCUUGUGCUAUUUUUUUGUUUGUUUUUUUCUCUAAGCUUCAACAGAAUGCUGAAUCUUGUAUAGAAGAGCUUGAUGAUCGAUAGUGAAAGAAGAGUUUUCUUGAGUGGUGUCGCAACCCUUCAACGUUUAGGCUUUAUGAGAUAAUAAUAUGAAUAUAUCACAAAUAUGAUUUUGAAACGAAUUUAUUCUCGAUGGUUCCAAAGAUACGAUAGUAACUCAUUUUGUUUAUUUUGCAUUUAUACUCCAUUAUCUUCAAUUUAGCAUGUUUCAAUAAUAAGGAUUUCCAUUAAUUUGUAUUUAUAACAUGAAAUUGUAGUGCAGGUUAUUUUUGUAAGAUAGAGAAUGCAUUUUUUUUACCCUCUUCUAUAAAUGUUCAAUUCAUAUUGAAGACCUUUGAAUUUUUUUAUUAUAUACACACAUGCAUGUUGAUGACUUCCAAUCUGAUCUUGCUUCUAUUUGAGGAGUAACAUGUUAGUUGGUAGAUCAUGUGUUGCCAUCACGAAGUUCCAUUUCUCCUUAUUCAAUAGUAACUAUGUAGUAAAGUUGGUGCAGAGUUUGAUCUUGAUCAGAUAGUUAGUUUCGAACAGUGCUACAAAAAGAGUUUCAUCUAGAUUUCUAGCUAUUGGAGAUAAUUUUCGAUUUGAGUUUCAUUUGCAUGAAUACCUUUAUUGAAAUCCUUUCUUAAAAUAUAUGAUUUGAAUUUUAACUUGGAAUCUUUUGAUUUAAUUUCUAUUAUUAUAGGUCUUAUGGCUAGAUAAUGUUGAUUCUUAUAUAAUGUCAUAUGAGGUACAAAAGUUUCCCCACCUUAUUCAUGUCUCUAUAGAUUUUCUGAGAACAACUUGUGUUUCUUGACAUCACUGAAAAUUUUAUCUAAUAGAAUCUUUGUCUUUUUAGUUUUAGUUUUGUUCUUUAUGCCCAAACAUGGAAAUUGAUAACUCGUCUCUUCUAAUUACAGAUAACUUGACUGGUGUACUGAUGUUCCUAUAAAGUAUCGCAUUUUUUUGGUAAUGUCGUUAGGUCGGCGACAACUGUCAACUGAAGCUAUAAGAUUUCAGUGAAGAUGGGAUGAUUAAAGCGGUGAUAAGUACUAGCUUUGUCCGGUAGAGUCUAUACUUUAUUAAUGUGAAAGUAUAUUUUUAUACUUAGUGUGUAGAAUAUUGAACUACUUUCAGCCUUUGAUAUGUAAACUAGGUUGAAAUAUUAAUGAUGGUUGUUCAUCAUACUUUAUAUCAGAUUCGUUUAUAAUAAAAUUUUGUUUUAGUAUUUA
rnacentral:lncRNA from 1 species